ACAUUGUAUUGAGUGUCAGAUCCCCUUAGGCACCUCUUGGCUGUGUUGGUUCCUCAGACAUCCUUUUUCAUGACUUUGACAAUUUGAAGAAAACUGGUCAGGGGCAUACAUCUUUUCAUUCCACUGAAAAUGCUCUUGCCAAGGUCACCAAUGACUCAUCUUUUGCUAAAUCCACUGGAAACGUCUCUGGAGCCAGACUGUCUGUUCUCAACUUUUGGCUCUGACACUGAUUAGCUGCCUGACCUUGGGUGAGUCUCUAAACAUCUUUAGGAUUCA